GUGCCAGCAGCCGCGGUAAUACGUAGGGUGCGAGCGUUAAUCGGAAUUACUGGGCGUAAAGCGUGCGCAGGCGGAUUGUUAAGCAAGACGUGAAAUCCCCGGGCUUAACCUGGGAAUGGCGUUUUGAACUGGCAGUCUAGAGUGUGUCAGAGGGGGGUGGAAUUCCACGUGUAGCAGUGAAAUGCGUAGAGAUGUGGAGGAACACCAAUGGCGAAGGCAGCCCCCUGGGAUAACACUGACGCUCAUGUACGAAAGCGUGGGUAGCAAACAGGAUUAGAUACCCCCGUAGUCC
rnacentral:rRNA from 1 species